CCUACGGGGGGCAGCAGUGGGGAAUAUUGCACAAUGGGGGAAACCCUGAUGCAGCGACGCCGCGUGAGUGAAGAAGUAUUUCGGUAUGUAAAGCUCUAUCAGCAGGGAAGAAAAUGACGGUACCUGAUUAAGAAGCCCCGGCUAACUACGUGCCAGCAGCCGCGGUAAUACGUAGGGGGCAAGCGUUAUCCGGAUUUACUGGGUGUAAAGGGAGCGUAGACGGCAGCACAAGUCUGGAGUGAAAUGCCGGGGCUUAACCCCGGAACUGCAUUGGAAACUGUGCAGCUGGAGUGCAGGAGAGGUAAGUGGAAUUCGUGGUGUAGCGGUGAAAUGCGUAGAUAUUAGGAGGAACACCAGUGGCGAAGGCGGCCUACUGGACUGUAACUGACGUUGAGGCUCGAAGGCGUGGGGAGCAAACAGGAUUAGAUACCCCUGUAGUC
rnacentral:rRNA from 1 species